rnacentral:rRNA from 2 species
GGUUAAGCGACUAAGCGUACACGGUGGAUGCCCUGGCAGUCAGAGGCGAUGAAGGGCGUGCUAAUCUGCGAUAAGCGCCGGUAAGGUGAUAUGAACCGUUAUAACCGGCGAUACCCGAAUGGGGAAACCCAGUGUGACUCGUCACACUAUCAUUAACUGAAUCCAUAGGUUAAUGAGGCGAACCGGGGGAACUGAAACAUCUAAGUACCCCGAGGAAAAGAAAUCAACCGAGAUUCCCCCAGUAGCGGCGAGCGAACGGGGAGGAGCCCAGAGCCUGAAUCAGCAUGUGUGUUAGUGGAAGCGUCUGGAAAGGCGCGCGAUACAGGGUGACAGCCCCGUACACAAAAGCGCAUGUGCUGUGAGCUCGAUGAGUAGGGCGGGACACGUGGUAUCCUGUCUGAAUAUGGGGGGACCAUCCUCCAAGGCUAAAUACUCCUGACUGACCGAUAGUGAACCAGUACCGUGAGGGAAAGGCGAAAAGAACCCCGGCGAGGGGAGUGAAAAAGAACCUGAAACCGUGUACGUACAAGCAGUGGGAGCACAGGUUUACCUGUGUGACUGCGUACCUUUUGUAUAAUGGGUCAGCGACUUAUAUUCUGUAGCAAGGUUAACCGAAUAGGGGAGCCGGAGGGAAACCGAGUCUUAAUUGGGCGUUAAGUUGCAGGGUAUAGACCCGAAACC